ensembl:lncRNA
GUACGGAAGAGGAUGCUGGAAGAGAGAGACGCGAGGGUGAAGGGCUAGAAAAACGAAUAAUGUGAUUCCAGGGACCGAACACCAACUCCCCUCCAGUUCCCACCCCGGCGUCACCAGGGGACUAAAGCUGUGGGCAUCUUCAGUUUAACGGACUUUUCGGAAAGCGGGGGGCGGGAAAUGGCAGUUUGUGUCCCAGGGGUUCUUCCGCCUCUUCUCGCCUCCUCCGAAUACAAACAAAACUCAGCCCCCCAGCCUCCCCCCGCCCUCCGGGGUAACCGAGGACUCGGGGGACCGUGGAAACGUCCUUCCCCAAUCCGGCCGCCUGCGGACGCCCGGCUCCCGCGGGGCCGACGCUCGUUGGCGCCCGCAGCCUAACGCGGCCCCGCGGGGUCGGCUGCAGGAGCCCGCCGCGCCCGCGCGCCCCCGGAGUCCGCCGGCGGCGUCUCCUGCCACGGUGCGGGCCGGGCCCUCCCACUGCCCGCGAGGGAGGGCCGCAUCCCACCCCACGACCUGUGGGCUCGGCCGGCCAACCCUCUGCCCACGCGCAGCGAGAAGAGGCCCCUUUGUGUGACUAAAUUUGGAAAGAAUAUGGAUCCGAGCCAGUCUUUCCACGUGUGCUCCCAGCUCCCAGCUGAGAAGGCCAAGGGUUCUCUUCCGGGAGAACUAGUUUGGCUAUUAAGGGAACCUCUCAACCCAGAGCAGAGCAAGAGAAAGUAAGGUUUCCGAGAAAAGAGCUGUUUACCAUCAAAGCAAACUGGGUCCCACACAGACAUGGUAUAUUAUACACGAAGACAGAGGGAUGCAAACAUGCUCUUUGAUGUGUUAUUCUUGGGGACUGGGAAGGAUAAAGACGGAAUACUCACUGGGCCCAGCUCUCCAGAUGGGCUGAAAAUGCAGCAGUGAGUUAUGUGCAUUUCCUGAGAGCAGGGUCGUAACUUCCCCAUCAGGACCAUGUUGGAGAUAACAGGACACUUCCGGGAGGAGCAGCCCCAGCCAUUCCGGCUCAGUGCCCCUCUAGGAUGGGGCAUGGCACCCCGCCCGCCAGUCCUCAGACUCCCCUUCCUGCACAUGCAUGCUUCAGUAAGCUGCUCCCGCAUUUGCUGUGUGGAAUGAGUUACACCAUCCAGGAAAAAUGCCCCGUGGGAAUAAUGAAAAUAAUAAUCAUGUACAGUGCCAGCAUAUGUCACAUCCUGUUCUAAGUGCUUUAUUCCUGUUGAUUCGUUUAAUCCUCACAAGAGCCUUGUAAGAUAAGCUUUUCAGCGUCCUCAGUUACAGAUGGGGAAACUGAGGCCCGGGGGGCUACCUGUGUAUCCCUCUUAUUCUCUGCUCCCCCUCUGUUUUAGUGAAUCGAUUUAUGCUUAG